rnacentral:rRNA from 1 species
GUCUAUGGCCAUGCUACCCUGAACAAGCCCAAUCUCAUCUGAUCUCGGAAGCUAAGCAGGGUUCGGGUCUAAGCAGUACUUGGAUGGGAGACCACCUAGGAAGACGAGGUGCUGUAAACU